rnacentral:sRNA from 2 species
UUCCAUGUACUGAUGUGCUGUGAAAAAGGGCGACAGCUUUCUAAUUGAUGGCUGGCUACAUGCCUUUUUAUGCCAACAAUAAUCACUUGAUCUGCGGAGCCAACUUCUAUCUGCCCGCUCUGCAACAGUCUCUUGUUCUUCAGAAGGACUUGUUUUAUGGAAGCAUCAGUCCAGAUAUCAAUUCACCUCUACGGUUCUAUUCAUUUUUGCCCCCAUGCAAAAAAUGUAUUUAUUAUACGUUCACGAAUAAUGCCCCUUCCGAUUCAACAGCCACAGGGGCCAAGGUUGAAGACGGUUAUGGCUACCAACUCAAAUAUGCU